UCCUCCUCAUGCCCAGCUUUCCUGGCCAGUUAGUUGCCAUGAGCUACGAUCCCCAGCUGCGAACUCAAGCCACGAACUCAAGAUACAAUCAGGACUGGUAACUAUCCAGCAGCUGCAGAACAUGUGGGGGUGUGUG